rnacentral:rRNA from 1 species
GACGAACGCUGGCGGCGUGCUUAACACAUGCAAGUCGAACGGUGAAGCUCCAGCUUGCUGGAGUGGAUCAGUGGCGAACGGGUGAGUAACACGUGAGCAACCUGCCCCUGACUCUGGAAUAAGCGCUGGAAACGGCGUCUAAUACUGGAUACGAGAAGGGUCCGCAUGCGCACUUUCUGGAAAGUUUUUCGGUUGGGGAUGGGCUCGCGGCCUAUCAGCUUGUUGGUGAGGUAAUGGCUCACCAAGGCGACGACGGGUAGCCGGCCUGAGAGGGCGACCGGCCACAAUGGGACUGAGACACGGCCCAGACUCAUACGGGAGGCAGCAGUGGGGAAUAUUGCACAAUGGGCGAAAGCCUGAUGCAGCGACGCCGCGUGAGGGAUGACGGCCUUCGGGUUGUAAACCUCUUUCAGCAGGGAAGAAGCGAAAGUGACGGUACCUGCAGAAGAAGCACCGGCUAACUACGUG